rnacentral:lncRNA from 1 species
GCUGAUCGGGUGCGGGUGCGACUGCCUGUGUGCCUCCAUUGGCAUCUCUGCCUGUGGGCCCCAGGCCAGAAGUAAUGGCCCAUGUAGCCCAGGCCCGGGGGCCAGUCCUCAGCAUUUUGCGGAGGGGCGGCCUGGGAGGGGAGGAGGGGAUCCCUGGAUAGGGGGUCUCCCCUGGUCUGCCCCAGCUGUGCCGACAGCACCUCCACCUUGGGCCUCCAUCCUCUACCAGCAGAGAAGAGAGUGGCCCAUUCGGUGUCCACCCGUCAGGCCACCCAGCAGCCAGGCACGCUCAUAAGCCCGCGUUACGGAUGGUGCGGCCGGGUGCACAGGCCCGAGGGAAGCACAGGCCUCGGCCUCCCAGCUCCCAACCCCUGCACCACCCACAGCCGGGAGUACCCCAUGGACAGCUGUGGCCGAGGAGAAGCCAGGGAUGAGGGGGAUGGGCCUCACCUCCCCACCAGCCUGGGAAGGGGGUAGGCCCCUGGCAAGUAGGUGAGAAGCUUUUUCAUUCACAAGUUGUCCGGGCUCCCCAUUCCUCUUUGUCAGGCCAGCGGGUGUGGGCAGUCGGGGGAGGCUGGGGUCCUGACACAACAGGAGUACAUCUGCUGGCCUAGGGCCUGGAGACCUUCUCCUACAGGUCGGGAGGCAGCCCUGGGCAGCGGGCAUUGCGGGGACUAAAGAGAAACAAGAGCAGGUUGUGUGCAGGGCACCCCAGCCACUCCAGAAACCCAAUGGGAGGGUGGGGGCUAGGACCCCAAGAAGCUGAAUUGGGGUGCAGUGCCGCCAGGCCUCCCCUGUAGGAGUCACUUUGGGCUUCCUGUCCCAACUUGUGGUGGGAGCUGGGGCAAGGUUCCAGGGGUACCCCGAAUGAAUGGGGCUGUUCCCAAGCUGGCCAGGGAGCCUGGAAGCAGAUGAGAUGGGGCCGCAGAGCCUGGUUUGCGGAGGGGAGAGGCAGACGUGUCCUGCAGCCCUCUCUUCUUCAGAGGCCCCCUGCGGGUGCUGAGGGGAGAGUGGCUUAGGCGUUGCACCCCAGGAGACUGAACUGGGUCAGUUCCCCCUUGUUUGCUGCCAGAGAAAUGGGGGUACCAUUGUCAGGGUGAGCUAAGGAGGCCCUGCUGACAUUGGCCCAACCAGGCCCCUCCUUUGCGGCUGCUGUGGGGACUUUCGAGAGCAGAGCACACCCCUAAGUGCGUGGAGAGGAGGGAAGCUGAGGCUCAGAGACAUCAUGAGGAUGCCAGCUCAAGGCCCAGCCAGGCCUUGGUCCUCAGCUGCUGUCAUCCAGUAGGACCACCUAGGAGUAGGGCCCCUUCACCGUUUGAAGCUGACUGUAAAAAACAUCUGACCUGUGUGCAAAGCUCAAGCCCAGAGGCCUCCAGGGUGUCCAGCCUCCAGGGUGCCUCCUACGCAGCCUCCACGUCCCCAUCCACUGCAGCCCCUGACCAUCGGGCACACCGUGGGGCCUUCGCUGGCCGCCGGGCCUCAGGUUCUGCUGCACCAAGUGAUUUUUAAAGCCCCAUCUGCCUUUCUCCACUUAUAAAGAACUUGGGACAUUUCCUCGAGGUUGGGCAUUUUUCCAGAUGUGGUUUCAGUGUCUCGCUUGCUACCUGGUCCCCUGUGCUGGGCGGUCCGCUGUGACGCACCUGGCAGUCCUUGCUCUAGGAUGGAUUCGGGCCGGCCCUUGUUCUGAGAACAGAGAACGGCCCUUGUUCUGAGGAGGCUGGGGUCUGGAAUCUGCUUCCUGGUCCCCUGCUGUGUGCAGACAGCCACCGUCACCCAGGCCCAGGGGUGCCUGCAGGUGCUGGGCAUCUCACCCUGGCCCCCACAGGGGCUCCCCAUGCCCUGCACCCCUCGGUCUGUGCCGGGGACUUCCCUGCUCUGCUGUUGCAGGCCUCGUCCUUUGCCGAGGGGGUCUCUUUCCCACGUGUCCCUGAGACUCCUCAGCCAUCCCAGAGGCUCUCGGCCGUCUGAGCACCCCUGACCAUGAAGCCUUCCUGGCCCACUCUCUGUGUGUGAGGCAGAGCCCAUCCCUACCAUUCCGACCCACACCAGAGGCUCCGGAAGGUUUGCUGACUGACCUGUGACUGCAAGAAGCUGAAGGAAUGUGGGCGCAGACCCGGCAGGGGCUUUUCUUGGUGCAAAGUCAACUGGCUGUCCAUGCAAGCCUGCUGCUGUGGCCAGCCCUCC